AGCCUGAGCAGGUCGCCUAGCAACGACACUCUGCUGGUCUGCGACAUCAACUCGGAGGUCACGGCACCUACAGCCAGAUACCGACUAAGUUGAGGCGUUGACGGGCUGUGGAGGGAGGAACAGGAGGUGGAUUCAGGUCACCUGACAGCCAGUGUCACUCUGUCAGAUCUACCUAAUGGUGUCCAGGUGGCGUGCCGUGCGCGGUCUUACUUCACUGAUCAUAACAUCUUUAGUCCUUUCACUAUCAGCAAUGUUAUUUCCCUUCAGACUGCUGAUGUUGGCUAAAUCUGCUAACGAAGUGUCUCGUGCAAGAACGUGAGACCAUCAUGAAAGACAGUUUUUAGAUCGUUCACAAGGACUGAUAAAUGUCAGACUACCAUGAACUCAUUCAAGUAAAAUAAUUUAUACAGUUUGUGUCCAAAGAAUUUAGUGACAGCUUCCUUAGUUAGUUCUUAAGAGAAUCAUGCACUUUUACAAUAAAGUCGAAAAGCAUGUGCCGAAACUUUGCAUUCUCUUUGUUCUCUUGUGUCUGGGUGUCUUUAGAUGCGACGCUUGUCUUCAGGUAUUGUCUUCUACCUGUACUAUAAUUGAAUGUGUGCUUUCCGCUGUGCCUGCCAUUGGAUGUUUGGAUGUGUUCCUCUAGUUCCUUUCUACAUUCUUUGGUUUGUUCUUUGAUAUAUUGUGUAUGU